ensembl:miRNA
UGAGGUAGGAGAAUUGCUUGAACCCAGGAGGCAGAGGUUGCAGUGAGCCAAGAUUGUGCCACUGCACUCCAGCCUGGGCGACAAAGCAAGACUCCAUCUUGGA